rnacentral:lncRNA from 1 species
GAGAUUUUAUGUAAUUGGAAUUGAUUUACAUAUCCUUUUAGAAAUUCAAUGAGAGAUUGUUGUUCUGAAGGUUUUCCUUUUUUGUUGUUGUGUUAUUCAUUUUGGUUACACCAUGGUGUUGUGAAUCGUGAAUUGAAUUACUUCCAACACUAUAUAGGCUAAUUUGGGCUUAAUUUGCUUUUGCUUUCAGUAACUUGAUAUUGCUUUCAAUUACAUGAUUUGGGCUUAAUUGGCUUUUGCUUCCAGCCUUAAUACUGGAUCUUUCCUUGCAAAACGUAACGCCUUCAAUGCAAUGAUUUUUAAUCGUAGAUCUCUCAGGAAGGACUGAUAAUCAACAUUUGAUGUGAAUAUUGUAGGACAUAUCUGUGUGUUUUGCCCAGUGCCGGCCAACACCACUUGGGAACUAAAUUGGGUUAUGUGGACAACUUUUCCAAAGGCUACGGUCAUCCACUGGAACAAUAUAUCAACAACAACCAUAUAAAUUUCUUGGUGGAAGAUACUUGCCUCCUUGAAAACCACUACUCGAACUAGUGAAGCUCCAUCCUGUUUAUCAAAGUGUAUAUUCAGCCACGCUUAAAAAUAUAAGUUAACAGUUUGCCCUAUAGGUUUAAUAUGUUUUAUGUCAACUUACAAUAUAUUACAGUUCUUAUGUGGUUUUAUGUCUUUAUCAUUAUUAAAUCCAUG